GAUACCCAUAGAUGACAAAGGGAUCGAGAGUAGGACUUGUUACUACGCGGACAUCAUGAAUUGCGGAGUCAUAUAGUCCUCCGAAAAACAUCGCUUUUGCCACCAGUAAUAAAGCACCUAAUCCUAGAAAAAUCAAGUGAUGUCCUAAGAUUAAACCAAGUUGUUUCGGGUCGUUCCA
rnacentral:antisense_RNA from 17 species